AACGAACGCUGGCGGCAGGCCUAACACAUGCAAGUCGAACGCCGUAGCAAUACGGAGUGGCGAACGGGUGAGUAACGCGUGGGUGACCUACCUUCGAGUGGGGGAUAACGUCCCGAAAGGGACGCUAAUACCGCAUAACAUCCUGCUUUUGAAUGGGUGGAGAUCAAAGCCGGGGAUCGCAAGACCUGGCGCUUGAUGAGGGGGCCCNCGUCUGAUUAGCUAGUUGGUGAGGAACGGCCCACCAAGGCAACGAUCAGUAUCCGGCCUGAGAGGGCGACCGGGCCACACUGGGACUGAGACACGGCCCAGACUCCUACGGGAGGCAGCAGUGGGGAAUCUUGCGCAAUGGGCGAAAGCCUGACGCAGCGACGCCGCGUGAGGGAUGACGGCCUGGUGUAACGU
rnacentral:rRNA from 1 species